GGGGGAAUUCUUCCGCAAUGGGACGAAAGUCUGACGGAGCAACGCCGCGUGAGUGAUGAAGGCUUUCGGGUCGUAAAGCUCUUUUGUUAGGGAAGAACAAGUGCUAGUUGAAUAGGCUGGCGCCUUGCCGGUCCCUAACCAAAAACCCCCGGCUACUUCCUUGCCACCACCCCCGUUAUUAAAAAAA
rnacentral:rRNA from 1 species